rnacentral:lncRNA from 1 species
GCUCAUGUCUGGCUCUGGUCCAGGCCUGCCCUACAAAAUGCAGCCCACAGCUGUGUUCAAUGGAGGAGUGAAGGAGCUCAUUGAGCAGGGUGGGAUUCAAACCCACUCUCUGAGAUGGUGGGGAUUUGCCUGGGGUCAUGGUAUGGGCUGGUAGCAGAGUGAGGAACCAGAUAUGUGACUCUUGCUCCUCUUCUUGCUGCUCAUCGGGAUAAUGACUUGAUUAAUGAGUUGUUCUUGUUCAUCUGAAGGGAGAACCCGGUCCACCAGGCAAAGGAGUGGAAAUGAAGGAUCUGGAGAGGCUUUUUGAAGCAAAUGGUAUCAAGCUGGCACUGCUGAAGGACCUCUCCAAUGCACUCCUGCAGGAUGGGCUGGAUGGGCUGGUGUGGCAGCUGGGUGGCUCCAGGACAAGCAAGACCUCCAGGAGAAAGCAAGCAGUUCUUCAUGCUACUGAGCAUGGCGAUUCACUGGUGUUUGAUACUUCUCCUGGUGCCCUGGCCAGCACUGAGGUGACAGAAGAAGCACAGAGCCUGGAGGUGGAGGCUCAGUUUAGGGUGCCGGUGUCUGGAGGACUCCUUAAGGGUCCAUCUGCUGGUGGUUCUGAACCUGAGUACCAGCCCCUAGGAAACCCUCCUGAGUCCUUGGAGAGAACAUCUGAGGAAGGAAAGGAGGAGAGAGACCCAAGAUGGACAAUCACUUCUCUCAGUGGUGAAAAUGAGAAUUUAGACGACGGCUCUGCGCUCCCAAGGCACGUUAGAGCCCAGAGAUCUGCUGAGGACCAGAGACACGUGGUAAAGACCCCAUUUCACCACGACAGCUUCGGGCUGGCCUUUGUGCAAGAGCAGAGCCAUCCGUGUGACCCAGGAGGAAACGGCGACCUUUCCUUGUUGGCUCCAUCACAGGUUCAUCCCCCUGGUGCUCCAGGAGCUCGGAAAUCCCCAUCUGGAUCCACGGUGAGUGAAGACCUCAUAGAAAGGUGUCUUCAAACACAUGGACGCAAGGGCAAUCCCAUUUCCCUCCUCUCACUUGUGCAAAGUCACGAUGAACGUAGAGGGG